ensembl:snRNA U7 U7 small nuclear RNA
UAGUGUUACAGCUCUUUUAAAAUUUGUCUCAGGUUUUCCGGUCCACACUGGAAAACCUCC